AACUGGCUUCACGAACAGGAUAUUCUGGAAAAUGACCCUGUUGAGUAGAAUGCCUGUAAUGACAUGCUGGGUGAGGGAAGCCAGGGGUAUUCCUGGAAACAGUGGAGGGUAAUCCUGUUGUGGUGCACCAGUACUGGGGGCAUGUCCCCAGCGCUCCUGUGGGUCUUGCAGAGGACCUGUGUGUGGGGAAAGAAGCAGCUAAAGCAAAUGUACAGGAGUUAGUGGGAUGUAUAAAGCCAGUUUCCAAUUGUGAUUUUAUCAACUAUGUCCUUGUCUGGAAUGUGAUAAUCAAAGGAGCCUUGCCUGGACUCCGGAUGUCAUCAGAAAACCAUAAGGAAUUAAGAUUGACUUUGAAGAAUAAAAGCACUUUGGAGAAAUGGCCUGGUACUUUGCUUGCUCACAUUGUUCAUGACAGUCUUUCCAGUUCAUCUCACUAAAGAGUAUAUUUCCC